rnacentral:rRNA from 1 species
CAGUCGCCGCGGUAAUACGGAGGGUGCAAGCGUUAAUCGGAAUUACUGGGCGUAAAGCGCACGCAGGCGGUCUGACAAGUCAGAUGUGAAAUCCCCGGUCUUAACCUGGGAACUGCAUUUGAAACUGUCAGGCUGGAGUCUUGUAGAGGGGGGUGGAAUUCCAGGUGUAGCGGUGAAAUGCGUAGAGAUCUGGAGGAAUACCGGUGGCGAAGGCGGCCCCCUGGACAAAGACUGACGCUCAGGUGCGAAAGCGUGGGGAGCAAACAGGAUUAGAUACCCGCGUAGUCCCUGUCUCUUAUAC